GUCGUCGUCGUCUAUCGGUCAGGACGCCGGACUUUCAAUCCGGACAGGGCGGGUUCAACUCCCGUCGACGGCA
rnacentral:tRNA from 1 species